rnacentral:rRNA from 1 species
AAUAGAUACCCGGGUAGUACACGCCGUAAACGAUGAGUGCUAAGUGUUAGGGGGUUUCCGCCCCUUAGUGCUGCAGCUAACGCAUUAAGCACUCCGCCUGGGGAGUACGGUCGCAAGACUGAAACUCAAAGGAAUUGACGGGGGCCCGCACAAGCGGUGGAGCAUGUGGUUUAAUUCGAAGCAACGCGAAGAACCUUACCAGGUCUUGACAUCCUCUGACAAUCCUAGAGAUAGGACGUCCCCUUCGGGGGCAGAGUGACAGGUGGUGCAUGGUUGUCGUCAGCUCGUGUCGUGAGAUGUUGGGUUAAGUCCCGCAACGAGCGCAACCCUUGAUCUUAGUUGCCAGCAUUCAGUUGGGCACUCUAAGGUGACUGCCGGUGACAAACCGGAGGAAGGUGGGGAUGACGUCAAAUCAUCAUGCCCCUUAUGACCUGGGCUACACACGUGCUACAAUGGACAGAACAAAGGGCAGCGAAACCGCGAGGUUAAGCCAAUCCCACAAAUCUGUUCUCAGUUCGGAUCGCAGU